rnacentral:rRNA from 1 species
CCAGACUCCUACGGGAGGCAGCAGUGGGGGAUAUUGCACAAUGGGGGAAACCCUGAUGCAGCGACGCCGCGUGUGGGAAGACGGUCUUCUGGAUUGUAAACCACUGUCCCCAGGGACGAAAAUGACGGUACCUGGGGAGGAAGCUCCGGCUAACUACGUGCCAGCAGCCGCGGUAAUACGUAGGGGGCAAGCGUUAUCCGGAUUUACUGGGUGUAAAGGGAGCGUAGACGGCGAAGAAAGUCUGAAGUGAAAGCCCGCGGCUUAACCGCGGAACUGCUUUGGAAACUUUUUUGCUGGAGUACCGGAGAGGUAAGCGGAAUUCCUAGUGUAGCGGUGAAAUGCGUAGAUAUCAGGAGGAACACCAGUGGCGAAGGCGGCUUGCUGGACGAUGACUGACGUUGAGGCUCGAAAGCGUGGGGAGCAAACAGGAUUAGAUACCCGAGUA